GACGAACGCUGGCGGCGUGCCUAAUACAUGCAAGUCGAGCGGACUGAAUGGGAGCUUGCUCUUGUUCGGUCAGCGGCGGACGGGUGAGUAACACGUGGGCAACCUGCCCGCAAGACCGGGAUAACUCCGGGAAACCGGAGCUAAUACCGGAUAACACCGAAGACCGCAUGGUCUUUGGUUGAAAGGCGGCGCACGCUGCCACUUGCGGAUGGGCCCGCGGCGCAUUAGCUAGUUGGUGAGGUAACGGCUCACCAAGGCGACGAUGCGUAGCCGGCCUGAGAGGGUGACCGGCCACACUGGGACGGAGACACGGCCCAGACGCCUACGGGAGGCAGCAGUAGGGAAUCUUCCGCAAUGGGCGAAAGCCGGACGGAGCGACGCCGCGGGAGCGAAGAAGGCCUUCGGGUCGUAAAGCUCUGUUGUGAGGGACGAAGGAGCGCCGUUUGAAGAAGGCGGCGCGGUGACGGUACCUCACGAGGAAGCCCCGGCUAACUACGUG
rnacentral:rRNA from 1 species